rnacentral:rRNA from 1 species
UACGUAGGGUCCAAGCGUUGUCCGGAUUUAUUGGGCGUAAAGAGCUCGUAGGCGGUUCGGUAAGUCGGAUGUGAAAACUCAGGGCUCAACCCGGAGACGCCAUCCGAUACUGCUGUGACUUGAGUCUGGUAGGGGAACACGGAAUUCCUGGUGUAGCGGUGAAAUGCGCAGAUAUCAGGAGGAACACCAAUGGCGAAGGCAGCACUCUGGGACGUGACUGACGCUGAGACGCGAAAGCGUGGGGAGCAAACAGG